AAUUAAACUAGUAUUUUGUUGGGAACUUAUUCAUUUCAGUUGAAUUUCUUUGGUUAGUGUGCUACAAUUGAUUAUUGUAAUCUUUCCUCAUCAUAUGAAAAACUUUUAAGAUAAAACGCCGUCUUAACCAGUUGUUCAGUAUUAGUUGUUAAUAUAUUUCUACCUAGUUGAAUUCCUUUGGUUAGAAAUUUCUAACCAGAUGAACAUACUCUUUCUAACCAGUUGAACCCAUUCUUUCUAAAUCGAGAUCGAUUUCGUCUCUGAUGAUGAACCGAAGAAACUUAUUAGAGAUGGACUACGAAAAUCCACUUAGGGCAUCUCCAACUCCACUCUAUUUUUUAUUCUAAAAUAUUUCAAGUAAAAAUGCUACCAUAGUACUUUAUUUUUUCAUUCUAUAAUAAAGUUGAAAAAUUGGUUUACUAUCUAAAUAUAGAGUAACUUAUUAUUUAUUUCUUAUCACUCUAUUUUCUACUCUAAAAUAAACUAUCAUUGUAGUAAAUUCAAAUUCUAUUAUAAAAUUAUUCUAUUUUAGAGUAAAAAAUAGAGUAAGCCAUUGAAGAUUUAGGGUAAGAAAUAGAGUAAGCUGAGAUGCUCUUAUGUUAAAAACAAUAAACCAUUUAAACCAAUCCCAAAAUUUGUCAGAAGCUCUCUAUGUAACGCCUGCGAAGAGUCGAAUCAAAACUCUGACUCUCCUUAUAGACCCAAGAAGCGUCACAUUUUGUCCCCAAAUCUCAUUCUUUCGUACUUUGAAAAAACGCUAAGUGAAAGAAUCACGCUCACUGUUGGACUACAUGACUUAGAGAGACGUAGUGGCUUGGACCGCAUUGAUCAAAAGGUGCGGAUAAAAAGCUAUUUCCACAAGAUGGAAGAUAGAAAUUUGAUCACACGGAUCACUUUGAUAUCGGAACCUGAGCGAUCAGACAGCAGCAAAGCUCUGCUUCUGUUUCAGAGGUUUAAAUCACAAGGCUCUGUGCCAAGUUAUUACACUUUCACAAGCUUAGUGUAGCUGCUUUCUCUAAGAGGGUUUAAUAAGAACAUUGAGUUAGCUAAUGCAUUAAUCUACAUGUAUGCUAAUGCAAUCUCUUCGAAAUUGCAGAGAAGAGGAAUCUUGUAUCUUAGACUUCAAUGAUGAUUGGUAUCACAAGGUAAGGAGUAGAUGCUGUUGGGCUUUUCGAUGAAACGGUUGGUUACAGUAACAGACCAGACCGGAUUGUUUCCAUGGUGGUUCUGAGCGGUGCCGCCAUGCCAGUCUAAUGGAGAAAGGAGUGAAGUUAUCUGUUAUCAGACAAUUUUGAUGAUCAAGAAGCCGGAACUUGAAAGUGAUACACAAAGAUGAAAAUUUGGUUUGUGUUUUAAGUUACCCGUUAUAUGAUUCUCCACCGUUCUAUUUU